CCUGUGGAGUGUCACAUCCACCGUAGUAGCGAGCUUGGGGCGAGGCGGGACACGUUGAAGCAGGAA
rnacentral:sRNA from 12 species